UACGUAGGGGGCAAGCGUUGUCCGGAAUCAUUGGGCGUAAAGAGCGCGUAGGCGGCCCUGUAAGUCCGCUGUGAAAGUCAAGGGCUCAACCCUUGGAUGCCGGUGGAUACUGCAGGGCUAGAGUACGGAAGAGGCGAGUGGAAUUCCUGGUGUAGCGGUGAAAUGCGCAGAUAUCAGGAGGAACACCUAUUGCGAAGGCAGCUCGCUGGGACGUUACUGACGCUGAGACGCGAAAGCGUGGGGAGCAAACAGG
rnacentral:rRNA from 1 species